UUUUCCCGAUCCCUUUCCUGAUUUUCUUUCUCCCUUCUUUUUCCUUCUCCACGUUCGCCGCUGCCAAUACCCAGCCCCCACUAUAAUUCUGAUUGGCUAAAUUAAUUCUGCAGCAUCCUGCUGUGAAUAAUUAUGUUCAUCCAGUGUGGAGCUGGAUGCCUUUCUCUCCCCCCCCUCCUCCUUGCCUAAAUUAUAAUGUGACAAUUGAAGCUCACAGCUGGCUCAUCAGAGGUGGCCAGUUUGGGAAUUGGCACAUCUGAAUGUGCCUCUCCGUUAACUCCCUGCCUUGAUUGCUUAAGACAAGACAUAUGUAAACCCCAUGAUUAUUACCAUUUUGUGCGUUUCACAAAGAUACUGCUUUAAACUGCAAAGCUGUUGUGUUUGCUGGGGGAGGGGAAAUUACAGGAAUUUUUCUCUUCCCCUCCCCACAGUUCCCUCCAACAAUAAAUAGCUGUCAGACUUAUGUCAAGAAUGAAAUUAUAGGAGCAUAUGAGGCCUUGAUUACAUUGUUUUGGAUAGAUUGCUAUUAGCAUACUGAAAUGAAGUCUAAUUUUUCAGUGCUUUAGCUCAGUCAAGAAUCAAGUGACACGGGGGGAAGGGAUACCAUCUACAAGAAGGGAGUGAUGCAAUUCUGCUCAGCCCUUCUCUAGCCUGUUUCUGUUAUCAGUGGUUAACAACAAACAGUGAAAUAAAUAAAUAUAUUCUGCUGAGAUGUGUUAUUAGUUGGGAGGUAAGGCAGGGCUGGUGUACUAGCGAACAAAAUCUUCGGGUCAGAUGUCAUUCUUUGUGAACUCAUUAAAGGCAUCUCCAAAACAAAUCAGAAUAUAUUUAAUCCAUCUUCAUGCAGCAUCGAGUUCACUCGAUACGCUUGUAUUUUAUCGUUGAAAAUAUACUGGUUUUGUAUUAGUUGUUUGCAUAAUUCAUAGCACAUUGCCAGUUUCGGCUACUGUGCAUCCUCUGAUGAUGCAUGCUUAUUAUCCCAUAAUGUGCAGGGCAAGUGCCCUUGUUGUGGUUUUGUUGUUUACAGUUUCUGAUGAUGUGCACACAUUGCUUGCUUAGUUUGGAAAUCUUACGUUUUGCAUUCCGUGAGCGUCCUAACCUUUCCGUGUUUUACUAUCUGUGGCUCCUAAGCUGGUACUUUCGUUUGACACAGACACAUUGCUUUAACUACCUCUGUUUCACUGGGCUGGAAACAAAUAAAAGUUGUUUUGACUGCUUCUUGAAACAAUCAACCUGGAGUUUGGAAAGGGUCAAGAUUCAUUUGGGUUUAGCAGGACAGCUGAGAGCUGCAAGGAGCGAUCAUGAGCCAUUCCUGAUGAUGCAUAAAACUUCCCCUGCCCAGGCUUGGUUGGCAGCAUUGGCUCCGAGCAGCAAGGUUCUGGGUGAGAGGCACGAGAAAGGCUUUGUAUCAGAGCAUCACAAACUUUCUGGGUCACCCCGACCCUACAGGAAAUCAGUAAUGAAAAGGUAGACGUUUUAUCUUCCUAAUUUGAGAUGCUGGAUACUUUAUUAUAACUUAAAUUCAUACGACUGCAUCAGCCGCAGAGGGACAGGGUAAUUACAGCUAAUUCCAUCUGAAACAUCCCUAAAAUGAAACAAAAUACUUUGCUUAUUCAUUAAAAAGUCAGCUAUGGGAUCCAAUGUUUUGGAGACCUCUUUAUACCCAAAGAAAAGACUUUCUUUUUUAGAAAGCACUCAUACAUUCCCCCUGUUGGUAAAGCUCUGGGUCCAGUGGCUCAUGCAGCUCAGGCUCCUGCAAAUGCCAGGUGUUUCCAAGAGCUCUGAAGGUGCUUAGACAAAUUCAGAGGAGAAAAAUCCAUGACGAGCUGUUAAUCAAUAAAUAUUGCUUCUGGCUAACAGAGGCCUUUAGUUCAGAUAUCUGGAAAUGAGAGAAUGUAUGAGGAAAUACCACAGUGUGCUUACACUGAUGCAUUCUUCCCUGGGCAACAUCUGAAGCACUGUCAAAGAAAGAGAGCAAGAUGUGCCUUUGGUCAGAUCCAGUGUGGGUCUUCUUACAAUAUUGAAUAUUGACCAUAUAGCAUUUUUGUUAGUGUUUACCUAGUGUUUGUAUCUGUUCCAGGUGCUUGGAAUUAAACUCUUAAAGCUUGGCUUGGGCUUACACAGUAGGUCAGACUUUUUUGAACAUUUCUGUAUAGAGAUGAAAAGACAAUUUGAAUGACAGCUCUUACCAAAAUAGAUGUUAUUCAUUUCCAUGCUUUAAGUGAUUUCAGCUGCUUCAGUAGUAGAUGCAGAGAUAGAGAGAAAAGGGAGAGGAAGGGCGUGUAAGAUAUUUAACCAAAGGGCUCUCUGGGUCAAAGUCCUCCCCUAUGCCCAGUGCUCUCUGUGAGUGUGGUCUCAUCCCUACAUUUUUCUAGUGAGGUGGUGAGAGGCUCCAUCCAUGAUCAGUCAGCUAACUCCCUUCCUAAUCUUGGUCUAUAUUGGGCAAGGGGCUCAGCCACACUGUCCUGGGCUGAUGGAGGAGUUGUGAACCUUAACAGGAGUCUCCUGAGAGCCUGGACCAAACCACAACCACCUCAGUUCUUGCCUCACUACAUGCCUUCAAAACAGCCCUUGGUACUCAGGUGGUCUGAUUCAAUCUCCUGGUGUCUCACUGGACCAGCAUUAGGCAUGGUUGAACAUUUUAAUGUGUGAUGAGAGAUUAGUGCCGGAGAAGAUGAGAUGGUGAAUUGUGAAUGGUGAUGCCAGGGUAAAUAUGCUUGUGUGGACCAUCUUUUCUCUCAGUAAAGGAAAAAGGGCAGCUCUUGAACAGCAGCCCUUGCAUGGAAGGAAGGAUCCAGCCCAUCAACACAGUAUCCUUUAACAAUAAAUGCUGGAGUAUCAAACUUGAGGUGAUGAAUAUUCUGGUACAUAGAGUUCCAGGAAAGACUAAAUUCAUUGAAAAAUAGUUAACAGGGAAAAAGAACUAUUUUGAACAGUGGGUAUUCAGAUAACAUAAAAAGAGAUAGAAGACAGUGGUAAGGGUUUCUCUGAAGAACUGAAAAUGUCAGUCCUCCCAGCCAAGCGAGGAGGUUAAAUGUGCCUGUUACAAGGUCGUGCAGAGUACAGGAAGAAAAGGCAGUCUGUUUUUUUCCCUGUCUAUAGAAACAGAUCUCUAAACCCUCCUGUGUGAGGGAGACAAGUCUGGAGUUGUUCACUUAUGUUUACUGGUUUCCUAUGAGCAUCGCCAUAGGGUCAUACCAACGCUUUCACAUAAUAACUUUGGUUCACACUGCAGAGGCUGAAGAGCCUAGCAGAAUACUUAAAAACAUCAGCCAGCUGCUGAUAACUAUGGAAAAAAAAACACUGAAAUAUUUGAAAAAAUGAAACAUUCUUGCCCAUCUCCCCCAAGAGUGAAAGCAAGUAGCUUCAUUCUUAGGUGUAAAGAGGUGGUCAAGAAAAUUUAUGCAAGAAAUCGCCAUCUGUUGCAGCAAGCAACAACCCCUGGUAAUCCAACAGUUUCUAUUUCUAUUAAGCAUAUAAAGAGAAUUCUGUGAUCCAUGGCAAAUAGGUACAAAUAGAUUUGAAAUGCCAUCCAUGAGAACAGCAACGUUUCCAAUAGUAACAGAACCCAACGAAAAAUAAGCUUCCACGUGAACUGAACAAUUUGAGGAACUGACUCAGAAGGAGCCAGAUUGCUGCUCUGCACGUUUUAAUGGUCUCAAAACCUACUGAUGUCUGUUUUGCACUACAACAUAGAUGUCUAAAUAACUACCAAAAAUACUCCAGAUUGUUUGAGGAGAUGCUCUGAAUGAUAUAUUUCGCUGUGAUACUUUUAAUUGCUGGUAGUUUCAGAGAAGACUUCCAAGCUUUUCAUAUAGGAAACGCAUCCUUUCAUUUAUAUAUUUUUUUACAUUUACCCAUUUCAGACCCAGGUGACAUUCUGUGUAAAACUAUAAAAAAGGUAGAAGUACAUAACUAGGAAAUGGAUCUCUGAAAACUGCCAGAUGAUCCAUGAGAUUUUCUCCUGGGAACAAAUAAAGGAAAGCAUGAGGAAUACAGAACUGCAGGCUGGCAGGGAGGCAUCAUGAGGUAAAAGUUGUUCAGCUGGGAAAGGAAAACAAAAUUACAGUAUUAAAACCAGUGAAAGAGAAAUAAAUGAAAAUGAUACGCUUCUGUAAUUAGAAAAAGGAGAUAACAGUAAAAAGAUUUAUGAUAAAUAUAACCAGAGGAGGUUUUCAGCAAUGGAUUUCUAAAGUUAAAUUCAAAAGUUUGAUAGCAUUUUCCAAAAACACUGAAUUUCUAAUACCACCUGAGCUGAUUCAAAUCAAUUCUUAAAGUAAAUAGAAAUUAAUCAUCUCAAUUAAGUAUGUGGAGUUAAAAUAAAAUCUUGUUUGGCUUCAAUUUCUUUUCAUCUCGUGAAAAUGUGAACUUCUGACAGGUGUGUCCUGACACCGUAAAUAGUGUUUCCGUGAAGGUGGCGAUGCUCAGAGCGAGACUGCCAUCGCUACAACUCUUCAGAAGUCCUUCAUGUUGGGUGCACAUCAUGCAAUAGGUUUUUAAGUUUUGAGGACAGAGAAUCUCCAUGGGAUUUAGACAGAUGGACAACUCUGUUUUUAUUUGGUUUCACUUUGCAAGUUUCUGACUGUUAAUUUUGCAAAGAUGCAGAGGUUGCACAGAUAUAUGUAGUCAUCCACAAGGUCAGAGAAAUGUGUUAAAAGAAGCAGAAACAUGAACUGGCCAUGUAUACAAUACCUGCUGGAGCAAAUCCCAAAGUUUCAAGGUCUUUUUUGCUUGGUAUGAACAAUGCAUUCCAAUUUUUAAAGGAGCAAUACAGCUUGUUUCUUAGAAAAUAAUGUUAAAGCACGGGUCAAACUAUCACAUUAAUUACCUGGAGGUCAUUUUGAGAAAAUUACUAUCAAAUGUAUUGAAAAAAGGUUUUAUAUUCUCGCAGAAAUUAUGAUCUGCUGUUUCUAUGGAAACUGCGACAGUAGUUCAUAAAAGCUCUUUAAUGGAGGUUUACAAAAGCCUAACAUCCCGAAGUCUAGCAACGUCUACAGAAAAAAGCUCGCGCUCAUACACACAUAGGGCUAAUUCCACCUCUGAUGCAACUUCUGGUUUCAGCCCGAGUUACAUCAGGCGUGAAUUGAGUCCAUAGCAUUUAAUAGUUUUCUAAGAUCUAGGGAUAAAUAUUAUAAGAUAAUAUUUGAAUUCUAAUCCUCAAGUCUUUCUCCUCUGUUGGACGCACAUGUGCUGGCGUGCUGUCAACCUGAUGAAAUGGAGCAAAUCUUUGAGGAAUAGAACUAUUUAAAAAGGAACGUUAUUUCAAUCUGUGGGACAUUCUGGCUUUGGGUUUUAUUUUUAUAUUUCCGUAUUCCAUUAACUGUGCUUUUCUGGGGGCUUCAGUCUGGAGCGAGGCUGAACAUUCUGCUCUUUUACACACGCUUAACUUUAAGCACGUGAAUAGUAAUAGUUGCUUCAAUGCAUAAAGAUAAGAAGAUGCUUAAGUGCUUUACUGGCUUAGAGCCAGAUUGCUCAGCUCCCAGCAAGAGCGUGCCCAAUAUCAGUGAUUAAUAAUAAUGAAAACUAGAAUUUGCAUUUUCUUAGAUAGUUUAUUGAUAACUACUCCACAAUGAAUAUUCCUUUUUUCUACCAUGUACACACACAGUCUGUUUCUGCACUGAGAUAUCAUUGUAAAAAAUUUGUUAAAGGUCUCUUUUUUAUUGGGAGGACGAAUAAAUGUGAAUCUUGUGAAAAGGGAAAUGAUGUGAUAUUUUAGUUCAAAGAGCAAUCAGAAUUAUUGCUGUGAUUUGGGAAGAUUCAAAACAUUGUUGAUUUGCUGACAAACCUGUCAUACAAAUCUUAAAAGCUCAGGAACAGUCCCAGGAAAAAAAAAAAAGUGGAAUAGUGGUGAAGAAGAGGCCAUGACAGAAUUUAAUGGAAGUGAUAGAAGCUUCCUUAUAGCAUUUGCCUGCAAGUAUUAGUUCUGUAUGAUUUUUCUGCUUUCUGCUGGGACUGCUUAACAACUCCUGUUUGUUUAGGGUAAUGAACGACCUUGUGGAAUUGAACCACAGGCUGUGCACUAACUAUCGAAUCAUUAAUAUUUUUCUGUUCGUGUUUGCUAAUGAACAUGUAAGCAAUUUGGGAUGGACUUAAUGAAAAAAAAUUGCUCAUCUAGAUAAAAUAUUUUGGGGGUGAGCUAAAUAGUUAUCAGAUGAAUAGGGUGAGAAGAGAAUGUGUAAAAUUUGUGUGCAGGAUUAGUGUCAUUUUAAAAAUUAGUGUCAUUUUGAAAUUUCUGUGCAGGAUUAGUGACUGGGAGCCCGUGCUUGGAGAUGGUGAAUAAUGAUCUUGGGUGCCUGGGGUUUGGUCAGUUCCAGCCGUGAACUCAGUUAAAGGAACCUGGGAGACCUUACUGGUUUCUGUAUUAGGCAUGCAUUAGGGAACACGAGUAAAAAACUUAUACACAUUUAGGAGAAUUUCCUGAAAUAUUAUUUGCACCAAAGCUGUCACUUUAGUUACAUGAUUGACUGCCACAAUGGGCAUGCCAGACUCUCUGACUGCUCAGCUGUUGCUGAUGGUUAAUGCAACUCAUGGUUUGGAAGUGCUCUGAGAAACCAAGCAGGUGCAGCAAGGCAGUCAAGAGUCAGUAGA